AUGCCGCGUGUGUGAAGAAGGCCUUUUGGUUGUAAAGCACUUUAAGCAGUGAAGAAGACUCCGUGGUUAAUACCCAUGGACGAUGACAUUAGCUGCAGAAUAAGCACCGGCUAACUCUGUGCCAGCAGCCGCGGUAAUACAGAGGGUGCAAGCGUUAAUCGGAAUUACUGGGCGUAAAGCGAGCGUAGGUGGCUUGAUAAGUCAGAUGUGAAAUCCCCGGGCUUAACCUGGGAACUGCAUCUGAUACUGUUAGGCUAGAAUAGGUGAGAGGAAGGUAGAAUUCCAGGUGUAGCGGUGAAAUGCGUAGAGAUCUGGAGGAAUACCGAUGGCGAAGGCAGCCUUCUGGCAUCAUAUUGACACUGAGGUUCGAAAGCGUGGGUAGCAAACAGGAUUAGAUACCCUGGUAGUCCACGCCGUAAACGAUGUCUACUAGUCGUUGGGUCCCUUGAGGACUUAGUGACGCAGCUAACGCAAUAAGUAGACCGCCUGGGGAGUACGGCCGCAAGGUUAAAACUCAAAUGAAUUGACGGGGGCCCGCACAAGCGGUGGAGCAUGUGGUUUAAUUCGAUGCAACGCGAAGAACCUUACCUGGUCUUGACAUAUCUAGAAUCCUGCAGAGAUGCGGGAGUGCCUUCGGGAAUUAGAAUACAGGUGCUGCAUGGCUGUCGUCAGCUCGUGUCGUGAGAUGUUGGGUUAAGUCCCGCAACGAGCGCAACCCUUGUCCUUAGUUACCAGCGGGUUAAGCCGGGAACUCUAAGGAUACUGCCAGUGACAAACUGGAGGAAGGCGGGGACGACGUCAAGUCAUCAUGGCCCUUACGACCAGGGCUACACACGUGCUACAAUGGUAGGUACAGAGGGCAGCUACACAGCGAUGUGAUGCGAAUCUCAAAAAGCCUAUCGUAGUCCAGAUUGGAGUCUGCAACUCGACUCCAUGAAGUAGGAAUCGCUAGUAAUCGCGGAUCAGAAUGCCGCGGUGAAUACGUUCCCGGGCCUUGUACACACCGCCCGUCACACCAUGGGAGUUGAUUGCACCAGAAGUGGAUAGCYUAACCKUMRGGAAGGCGUUCACCACGGUGUGGUUGAUGACUGGGGUGAAGUCGUAACAAGGUAACCAAR
rnacentral:rRNA from 1 species